rnacentral:piRNA from 1 species
UAACACAGGAACAGAAAACCAAUCACUGC